UAACAAAUUCUAAACAUUAAGAAACAUUUUUUUUUAAAGCAUAUUAGGCCUACCAUGAAUUGUAGGUCCGAAUACAACGUUCGGAUCACUGAUUGGUUGCUAACUGCCAAAAGCCACCCCUACAAUCGUUCAGAUCACUGACUGGUUGUUAAAGGAGGGAGUUCCCGCCCAUACCAAGUUAGGAUCACUGAUUGGUUGUUAACAAAGAUUGUCCCGGCGUCUACUGUACGGUCAGCCUUCGUAUUAUGAAGACGGCGUCAGAUUCAAAGGGAUUUUCAAUAAGCAUUUGUGAGUCAUGUCGACCCAACCAGAGGGUCGAGGACCUGAAGAGGCCAGCAAAGACCUGCUGCGAUCCCAGGCAACAAGGUGGCUCAAAUUUCUACUCAAUUAAAAACGUAGUCUUUAAAAUCUCGAAUAAUUUAAAUUGUAAUAAUUUAAAUCUUAACUGAUUCUUACUCGUUUUCCCAGACCAGUGUGUACACACCGGUACACAUGCAUAUACAGACCGGUAUACAAUGUAUACUAUGUAUAGUAGUAUAGUAUGUAUAGUAGUAUAUAUGUAUAUACAUGUAUUGGAAGUUGUCUUUCUUCAGCUUAAAGGAGCUGAAGCAGAGAGGAGGGGAGAGGAGGCGAGGAGGACAGAGUCAAGAGGAGGAAAAGGGAGGAGGAGGAGCAGAUCUUUGGGGCCAGAAGAGAUGGAGAGUGCAACAGCUGGAGAAAGACAAGCUGGACAUGAUUGCUGCCAACAACCACGAGGUCUCUGGGCUGCAGGCGGUGUUGACGGGGUUACGGGCGGAGCUGGAGAGAGGAGAGGUGGAGCGACAGAGCCUGGAGUACCAGCUGGCCCUGAGCCACAGACAGACGGACAGAGAGGCAGAGCGGAGCGCCACCCUCACCACACACAACCACACUCUGAGGGAGCGUGUGCUGCAGCUGGAAGAGAGGGUUUCUGAGGUGGAGGGGGGCCUGCGUGCCAGAGAACAGGACCAGCAUGCAUUGCUACAGGAAGUGAGUGAAGCUGAACGUCUGAAGAAGAAGGCACACGCACAAAACCACCGGCUGACCCAAGAGACCCAGCAGCUGCACUCACUGCUGAAGGUAACACACACACACACGCACGCACGCACGCACGCACGCACGCACGCGCGCGCGCACGCACACACACACACACACUCCUGA
rnacentral:lncRNA from 1 species